CUUUCCGAGGAGCGCUGCGAGAGGACACGGUGGCCGGGCCGCCACCUCCCAGGCUCGGAGAGCCUUGUAUCCAACCGCGCUCACCCUGC
rnacentral:ncRNA from 2 species